rnacentral:rRNA from 1 species
CAUAGCACCCUGAACGUGCCCAAUCUUGUCUGAUCUCUGAAGCUAAGUGAGGUUGGGCCUGGUUAGUACUUGGAUGGGAGACCUCCUGAGAAUACGGGAU